GCAUAUAAAAGGAAUUUCUUCGGAGAGGAAUUUUAUAUGACUGAGUGGCGGACGGGUGAGUAACGCGUGGGCAACCUACCCCACACAGGGGGACAACAGUUGGAAACGACUGCUAAUACCGCAUAGGCGCACAGCUUCGCAUGAAGCAGUGUGGAAAACCGAGGUGGUGUGGGAUGGGCCCGCGUCUGAUUAGCUAGUUGGCGGGGUAACGGCCCACCAAGGCGACGAUCAGUAGCCGGCCUGAGAGGGUGGACGGCCACAUUGGGACUGAGACACGGCCCAAACUCCUACGGGAGGCAGCAGUGGGGAAUAUUGCACAAUGGGGGAAACCCUGAUGCAGCGACGCCGCGUGAGCGAAGAAGUAUUUCGGUAUGUAAAGCUCUAUCAGCAGGGAAGAAAAUGACGGUACCUGACUAAGAAGCCCCGGCUAAAUACGUGCCAGCAGCCGCGGUAAUACGUAUGGGGCAAGCGUUAUCCGGAUUUACUGGGUGUAAAGGGAGCGCAGGCGGCUUGGCAAGUCUGAUGUGAAAGGCUGGGGCUCAACCCCAGGACUGCAUUGGAAACUGUUAGGCUAGAGUGUCGGAGAGGUAAGCGGAAUUCCUAGUGUAGCGGUGAAAUGCGUAGAUAUUAGGAGGAACACCAGUGGCGAAGGCGGCUUACUGGACGACAACUGACGCUGAGGCUCGAAAGCGUGGGGAGCAAACAGGAUUAGAUACCCUGGUAGUCCACGCCGUANACGAUGAAUACUAGGUGUCGGUGGGCAAANGCCCAUCGGUGCCGCAGCAAACGCAAUAAGUAUUCCACCUGGGGAGUACGUU
rnacentral:rRNA from 1 species